rnacentral:rRNA from 1 species
GACGAACGCUGGCGGCGUGCUUAACACAUGCAAGUCGAACGGAAAGGCCCUGCUUUUGUGGGGUGCUCGAGUGGCGAACGGGUGAGUAACACGUGAGUAACCUGCCCUUGACUUUGGGAUAACUUCAGGAAACUGGGGCUAAUACCGGAUAGGAGCUCCUGCUGCAUGGUGGGGGUUGGAAAGUUUCGGCGGUUGGGGAUGGACUCGCGGCUUAUCAGCUUGUUGGUGGGGUAGUGGCUUACCAAGGCUUUGACGGGUAGCCGGCCUGAGAGGGGGACCGGCCACAUUGGGACUGAGAUACGGCCCAGACUCCUACGGGAGGCAACAGUGGGGAAUAUUGCACAAUGGGCGGAAGCCUGAUGCAGCAACGCCGCGUGCGGGAUGACGGCCUUCGGGUGGUAAACCGCUUUCGCCUGUGACGAAGCGUGAGUGACGGUAAUGGGUAAAGAAGCACCGGCUAACUACGU